rfam:Triticum aestivum genome assembly, contig: Triticum_aestivum_CS42_TGACv1_scaffold_222072_3B
UAGCUACUCCCUCCGCCCCGAACUACUUGUCUUAGAUUUGUCUAGAUACGGAUGUAUCUUGACAGAUAAAACGUGUCUAGAUACAUCCGUAUCUAGACAAAUCUAAGACAAGUAAUUCGGGACUGAGGUAAUAGCUU